rnacentral:lncRNA from 1 species
AAGGCUGCUACAGAAGGCUGCUACAGUGGUGGCUGCUACAGAAGGCUGCUACAGAAGGCUGCUACAGAAGGCUGCUACAGUGGUGGCUGCUACAGAAGGCUGCUACAGUGGCGACUGCUACAGUGGUGGCUGCUACAGUGGUGGCUGCUACAGAAGGCUGCUACAGAAGCGUGCUACAGAAGCCUGCUACAGAAGGCUGCUACAGAAGGCUGCUACAGUGGUGACUGCUACAGAAGGCUGCUACAGAAGGCUUCUGCAGUGGUGGCUGCUACAGAAGGCUGCUACAGAAGGCUGCUACAGUGGUGGCUGCUACAGUUGUGGCUGCUACAGAAGGCUGCUACAGUGGUGACUGCUACAGUGGCAACUGCUACAGAAGGCUGCUACAGAAGGCUGCUACAGAAGGCUGCUACAGUGGUGGCUGCUACAGUGGUGGCUGCUACAGAAGGCUGCUACAGUGGCAACUGCUACAGAAGGCUGCUACAGAAGGCUGCUACAGUGGUGGCUGCUACAGAAGGCUGCUACAGAAGGCUGCUACAGAAGGCUGCUACAGAAGGCUGCUACAGAAGGCUGCUACAGUGGCGACUGCUACAGUGGUGGCUGCUACUGUGGCGACUGCUACAGAAGGCUGCUACAGAAGGCUGCUACAGAAGGCUGCUACAGUGGUGGCUGCUACAGAAGCCUGCUACAGAAGGCUGCUACAGUGGUGACUGCUACAGAAGGCUGCUACAGAAGGCUGCUACAGAAGGCUGCUACAGUGGCGACUGCAACAGUGGCGACUACUACAGAAGGCUGCUACAGAAGGCUGCUACAGUGGUGGCUGCUACAGUGGUGACUGCUACAGAAGGCUGCUACAGAAGGCUGCUACAGAAGGCUGCUACUACAGAAGGCUGCUACAGAAGGCAGCUACAGGGGCGACUACUACAGAAGGCUGCUACAGAAGGCUGCUACAGAAGACUGCUACAAAAGGCUGCUACAGUGGCGACUGCUACAGAAGGCUGCUACAGAAUGCUGCUACAGUGGCGACUGCUACAGAAGGCUGCUACAGAAGGCUGCUACAGUGGUGACUGCUAUUGA